CACAGCUCUGUAAAGUCGGUUUUCUAUUUUCUUUAUCGGCAGCGUGGAGUGGGAGUGAAGAAGAUAAGGGGGUUCAGUGCGGGGGUUUAGUCCGUCGGAAGGUGGGGGCUAGGGUAGGCGGCGGCUGGUUGGAAGCGGCGAGGAUUGGUGUCGCCGUCAGCUAUUGGGAGGCGGCAGGGGCUGGGACCGGAGUGGGAAGCGGUGGGGGCUGGGGAUGGCGUGGACCGAAGGAAGGACUGAUGGAACCGCCCGAUCCCAAACUGCGGCGGCAGGGAGGACCAGCAGGAGGCCAACCAGAGAUCUCCUUUGCCGAAGAUGGGAGGAAGGCUUGGGACACUCGUGCCUAUACCGAGGAGGGUGGCGAGGAGGGAGAGGACGAACCUCGGCGGACACUGGUGCCUAGACCGAGAGGAGGUGGUCGCCGCCUACCCUACCGCGCCAAGGUGGAGAAGAGGUGUUCGCGGCCGACUCUGCUGCACCUAAGCGUAGAGGAGGAGGGAGGAAAGGUGCCGGCGGAAAUAGGCAACGCGGGGGCGGAACGUCAAGGCGAAGACCUGCCUCUAAACCUCCUCAUGGGCGGCGAGUGCCACCGAAGUUCGGAACAAGGGUUGACCGGGAUCUCCGUGUUAAAAUACCGAGUAAAUAUAUACCCCCGUCCCCCGAAGUUCGGAAAAAGGGUUGGGCGGCGAGUGCCACCGAAGUUCGGAAGAAGUGAUUCCCACGUUCGAGCUGACUAAGUUGCCAGACGGAACCACACUACCGAGGAGCAGUUGUUGGUCCAACUGCUACCGGAUACGAUCGAAAGACGACCUUCACAAAGACGACGGAGGGGUUCUACGACCUUCCAGUGGAGGUAGCUACGAGAGAGGCGGCGAAGGUGUUCGGCAGUCUGACAUGUCAAGACGUUCCAUGUUCAACGAGGAUGGCACGAGGGAGGCGACGGACACGAACGAUACUAUAGACCGACGAUUACGACGAGAAAGAGGAGAGGAUACCAAAAUACAGGGAUAAGAUGUACGGUACAGUUCGAUGUAGGAGAAGAAAGAAUCGACGUCCACGAGGUACGUGAUCCUAUAUGAGGGAGACAAAGAUUUAUAUUCUACAAAACCUUCAAAUUUAAUCUGACGGUUUUGUAGAAUAUAAAUCCUUGCCCACAUCAUAUAUUUUUAGAUGGAGAAUGACUCGAGAACAACAUAUAACCAUUCUCUUUAUACGAAACUUAGUAGAGGUGCUCCUACAUCUUAAUGUAAAUACCUUCCAAGUAUAAGUUAAAUGAUUUUUGUACUUCGUUACUAGAGGAAAAUUUAUACAAACUGAUCAUUUACCAUAAAGACACAUCGUCGACACACGCGUUCUUUCUAUUAUGUUCUAUAGUGGGUGAAAGUACGGACACGAGUUAUUUCACUGUAAUCACUUUUCAUUUUUGACUGUUGACAUGAAUGACCAUCUGAACAUGGAUCUCGUUCAUAUCCCAGAACAUCUGACUACGUUCUUCUUUAAUUUUGGUCAGGUUUGUCCAUGAAAUACUAAAAAACAACCUACAGAAGUAAGAUCGAUUUCUACUGGAACUUCAAUUAACAGGAGGUAGAACGACACUACAAGUUGAAAGAGACAAAAUAAAGCUUAUAAGAUAAAAAGGACAGCAUUACUAUCAGUACGUCAUUCACUGUUAUGAUACAGUCUCACUACAACGAGACGAAACAUGGUUGAAUCUUAAGUACAAAAUCUGAUUGGAGUUUAAAGUCGAGCCGUAAUAUUGAAUCCAGAACUUUCCAAACUGUGUUAGAACUUCCACAACCUCCAACCCGUUCUAGGCGUUCCGCAGGUAUGAUCAAAAAAGACGAUUAAAACCAUCAUCGAAGAGACAAACACAAGACGUUUUAGGCUGCCUUUUUUGUUCACGAUACAAAAAUAUUAUAUCUACUACUAUAAGUCGUUGAUUUCAAACACGGAAAGAAAGGUCAAAAGUCAAUGUACGAAUAGACGCACUGUGGAUUACACAGUUAGGAUUACACGGUGCUUAAGAGCAAAAUCCUUUUUCUUACCUUUUCCUUAUCUUCUUCUGUUACGACUUCGUGUUCUCGUACUCUCCGAUCGAAAUGAAUUUCGUUCCUUAUCACUACUAAAACUUGCUAAACCCAGGAAAUGUAAGAGUUUAGAUUUUCUUCUAAAAUCUCCUGCUCGGUCAGUCGCUGUUUCAUUUUCUUUCUUCCAAAGAGUUUCUAACUGUUCAACUAACUCCAAACCUUCUAGAUGUCCAACUACUUCUAAUACUUGCGGAUGCUAAUUCAGUCACAUCACUGUUACCUUAUACGGAACAAACAACUUGGACCUCUGAACGAGACGAGUAAAACAACCAACAAUUCAGUUACAUACGAGUACAACCAACACACCACGUAGCGCUUUAUUUACACAAAGAGGAAAAAACCGUGUUGAAGUCGAACCAACGCACCGUGUAGAUUUUUGUUUACCUUCGUGAAGAAAACACCGUGUUGCAGAAACAUAUACUAACGAUACUAAUAACUUACUUCAAGUUAUGAAAACUG
rnacentral:rRNA from 1 species